UUCAGGUGGGGAAUAACCCAGUGAAAACUGGCUAAUACCGCAUAACAUGACGAUGGCACAUGCUGUUGUCUUCAAAGGCGCAAGUCGCCAGAAGAGGGAUCCGCGGCCGAUUAGCUUGUGGGCGAGGUAAUGGCUCACCAAGGCAUUGAUCGGUACCGGACUGAGAGGUUGGCCGGCACACUGAACUGGAGACACGGUCCAACUCCUAACGGGAAGGCAGCAGUGGGGAAUUCUUGCACAAUGGACGAAAGUCUGAUGCAGCAACGCCGCGUGGGGGAUGACGCUUCUCGGAGUGUAAAACCCCCUUUCGAUCCGGACGAAUGUCCCCGGCAAGGGAUUGACGGUACGGGUAGAAGAAGCCCCCGGCUAACUACGUGCCAAAAAGCCGGCGGUAAGACGUAGGGGCCACGUUGCUCGGAAUUACUGGCGUAAAAGG
rnacentral:rRNA from 1 species